GUGAAUAAAGAGAUGGAGGAGGAGGAGGAGGAGGAGGUGAAUGAGAAAAGAGGAGAGGAGAGAAAGAAAGAAGAGGAAGGAAGUCAAUGUGAAGGAGAUACACGAAGAAAAUGAAAGUAAUUGGAGAAAAAAGAGGAGAGAGAGAGAGAGAAGAUAAGGAAGAAGAAGAAGAAUAUUAUUUUGAUUCUCUGGAGGGAGAAAUGUUAAACAAAAUCCCGGUAACCAAUCACGUCCCUCGCUUCAGGUCACGUGACUAUUACAGCCAAUCAUGUGCCUUACUUCAGGUCACGUGACUCUUCUAGCCAGUAACAGCAUGUCAUCUUACACCAUCACAAUCAAUAAAAUCAAUUGCAUCGCUCGUUCACUAGAUCCUUUGUCUAGUAUAUAAAGGAUGACUUGAAACAUCUAUUUACCAUUUAGUCUAAUUUGAGAUGUGAGUAAAUAUAAGUUUGUUGUGUUUAAACUCGGAAAAUUUGAUUACUAAAAGGGAAUAUGUAUUUAGCGAAUUCAAUUUAGCGCAAUUAGCAUCGAUUAUUUAAGUUGUCUAGAACUUUAAGUCUUUCCUUAUUAAUCUGGUUUAAAGUUAAAAUACUUAUUGUUGUAAUUAGAAUUGUUGUUUUUAACCUUAGAAUUCUUGUCACUGAGAGAGGAUUAAUAUUUAGCAAGUCAGUCAGCUUAGCGCAUUUAGCAAAAAUGCGCUAAUCUGAUUUGAGAUUGAAAAGAGAGAGAGAAAAAAAAAAUAAAACAAAGAUGGAACAGUAGAAGCAAUAACAAGAAGAAGGAGAAGAAAUAAAGAAGAGAAAAACAUGGAUGGAAUCGGAAGGGAAGAAAUAAGAAAGAAAAGAGAAAAAAGCCAAAAGAAAGACAGGAAAAGAGAAAAGGUGAGAAAAAGAAGAAAUGCAUAAAUAAAACAAUGAAUCCCAAAAAGAAAGAAAAAGACAAAAAGAAGAUGAAGACAAGACCAUAUAUGCCAAACACCGCUAUGGACACAAAACUCAAAAGCUGAACGUUGGCAACACUGGCGGCUGCUCUCCCUGGCUCCCACCCCCAGCAUCCCUCUAGUGGGCCCAAUUCAAAACUCGAAGACGCUGGCAGAGGGACAGUGGCAGGCCGGGCGUGUGGCUGGGAGAGUAAUGGCCACCCACUCACCUUCCCUCCGCCACGCCCACGCCCACACCCACAACAAGCCCGCAGCGAAGCCCAGCCACUACUGACUCAUUUGUGACGCACCUGUGGCUAAUUGGGUCCCCUCACCUCUUUACGCGUGGCCGUCACAUGUCAUUAAGGUGCUGAGGUGACCCGAGGCAGUGGCCGGCGACAUGACUCCCUGUGGCCUUGGGGGUGACGGAGGGAAGGACUGGGCUGCAGGAGGUAACCCGAGGCAUGUAGACCUGCCCUUGGGACCACUGCAGCCACUCCCACAUAGGUCUUUUUGACUUUUGAUGUGGGGGAACUUUAAACAUCUGUCAGGAAGGGUUUGCUAGCUGGCAUCUCCCUAACUGGGCCUUUUUGUGUGAGAGGAGGUUCAUCUAUGUUUCCCAAAGAGACACAUACAGACACUCAGUACUUCAUUGUUUUUAAUGUAAGAGGGGCACUGGCCAAGGGCAACAAAAAGAGAAAAAAAAUGCUCUCUAAGGUGUCCAAAAAGAGGUCAAAAAGAAAUCCAAAAGAGGUCAAAAGUAUCAUCCAGAAUUGGAGGAUAAGUGUCUUGAAACCGCCCUCCUGAAAGAAUUUGUCAGAGGAAGGGAGGAAUUUGGACACUAUCUGGGAAAAGUUUAUCUGUAAGGUGUGCCUCAACACACACACCUGCUGGAGGUUUGUGGCGAUGGAGUGUGGGAAAAAGUUUGUCGAGAGGGGUGGUCUCAACAGACCCACACUGACUGGUGGUGGCGGAGGGAGGUGGUGAGAGCAGUGUGGGGGAGGGGUGGGCCAUGAGGGACACUGCAGCAGACUCGUGCCCACCCGUGCAGGAGUGAGGGAUGGCGGUGUGGGGACUGGGCAAGGAAUUACCCUGAGAAUGACCUGAAAGACUCGGUUUGGUCUGUGUCAAGGUCACAUUUCAGGGUAAACCUUUUGCCACACUCCUGACACUCAAAGUCUCUUACACCAGUGUGCGGGUGAGCAUGAGGAUGUUAACAGCACCUUGUGGGCUGAUCUCUUCCCACACUCUAGACAUUCACAGUCGCUCCGCCAGCAAGGUGAGUGUGGGUCCGCUGAGGCCACCCUUACACAAGAGUCCUGUGCUGCACUCACUGCGGCUCCCCCAGUGUGGCUCAGGAUGUGUGUGCCGAAAACAGUUUUUAGAGUGGCCUUUUUAGGGGAAAAGGUUUGCCCCAAAAGGUGAUCUUGCCAUACACAGGCUGGCCCUGGCUGGCAUGUUGGUGGUGGUGCAGUGACAGGGGCGUGGCAGAGGGUGUUGUCAUGACAGACGCAGCCUCACUCAUGCUGGUGCGAGAGACUGUGAUGUCUAGAGUGUGGGAAGAGAUAAGCCCACAAGGUGCUGUCAACAAGCUCAUGCUCACCCGCACUGCUGUAAGAGACUUUGAGUGUCGGGAGUGUGGCAAAAGAUUUACCCAGAAGGGUCCUCUUCGCCACACCCCCCCUCUCCUGUCCUGACACACCACCGGGGACAAGUGGUGGCCUGUGGCAUAGCAUUAUGCGGCCUGGCUCAUGAACUGUGGUGGGUGACUGGAAGACACUCAGUAAUCAGGCUGUUGUGGUGAGUCAAUAGGGAACUUUGAAAUAUUAGACAAAUUUAUGAAUGACAGGCAGAAACAGACAGGCAAUGUUUUGUACAGGGACUGCCACGUGUAGGCCUGAUGGCUCCCCGCACCAACCCUUGUGUUCUUGUCCGUUAUGAAACUGUUCCCUCAGCAGCUGUCACAGGAGUCUUGGCAAACACCUCGUGACCUCAGUAUUGCAUCAGGCCAGUACUUAUCACCAGUAUUCUGAGAACCUGAGUUUUGUAUCUUAUCUUUAUUCCUGGCAGUUUGCAUUGUACCUUCAGGCAUCCAGGUGCUAUUAAGGUGUGUCAUAGCCAAAUCUGACAAUAAAAUGAUGAAUGCA